AAUGCAAGUCGAACGGUGAAGCAGAGCUUGCUCUGUGGAUCAGUGGCGAACGGGUGAGUAACACGUGAGCAACCUGCCCCUGACUCUGGGAUAAGCGCUGGAAACGGCGUCUAAUACUGGAUAUGAGCUGCGACCGCAUGGUCAGCAGUUGGAAAGAUUUUUCGGUCUGGGAUGGGCUCACGGCCUAUCAGCUUGUUGGUGAGGUAAUGGCUCACCAAGGCGUCGACGGGUAGCCGGCCUGAGAGGGUGACCGGCCACACUGGGACUGAGACACGGCCCAGACUCCUACGGGAGGCAGCAGUGGGGAAUAUUGCACAAUGGGCGAAAGCCUGAUGCAGCAACGCCGCGUGAGGGAUGACGGCCUUCGGGUUGUAAACCUCUUUUAGCAGGGAAGAAGCGAAAGUGACGGUACCUGCAGAAAAAGCGCCGGCUAACUACGUGCCAGCAGCCGCGGUAAUACGUAGGGCGCAAGCGUUAUCCGGAAUUAUUGGGCGUAAAGAGCUCGUAGGCGGUUUGUCGCGUCUGCUGUGAAAUCCCGAGGCUCAACCUCGGGUCUGCAGUGGGUACGGGCAGACUAGAGUGCGGUAGGGGAGAUUGGAAUUCCUGGUGUAGCGGUGGAAUGCGCAGAUAUCAGGAGGAACACCGAUGGCGAAGGCAGAUCUCUGGGCCGUUACUGACGCUGAGGAGCGAAAGGGUGGGGAGCAAACAGGCUUAGAUACCCUGGUAGUCCACCCCGUAAACGUUGGGAACUAGUUGUGGGGUCCAUUCCACGGAUUCCGUGACGCAGCUAACGCAUUAAGUUCCCCGCCUGGGGAGUACGGCCGCAAGGCUAAAACUCARAGGAAUUGACGGGGACCCGCACAAGCGGCGGAGCAUGCGGAUUAAUUCGAUGCAACGCGAAGAACCUUACCAAGGCUUGACAUAUACGAGAACGGGCCAGAAAUGGUCAACUCUUUGGACACUCGUAAACAGGUGGUGCAUGGUUGUCGUCAGCUCGUGUCGUGAGAUGUUGGGUUAAGUCCCGCAACGAGCGCAACCCUCGUUCUAUGUUGCCAGCACGUAAUGGUGGGAACUCAUGGGAUACUGCCGGGGUCAACUCGGAGGAAGGUGGGGAUGACGUCAAAUCAUCAUGCCCCUUAUGUCUUGGGCUUCACGCAUGCUACAAUGGCCGGUACAAAGGGCUGCAAUACCGCGAGGUGGAGCGAAUCCCAAAAAGCCGGUCCCAGUUCGGAUUGAGGUCUGCAACUCGACCUCAUGAAGUCGGAGUCGCUAGUAAUCGCAGAUCAGCAACGCUGCGGUGAAUACGUUCCCGGGUCUUGUACACACCGCCCGUCAAGUCAUGAAAGUCGGUAACACCUGAAGCCGGUGGCCCAACCCUUUGGAGGGU
rnacentral:rRNA from 1 species